GCAUCGAUGAAGAACGCAGCGAAAUGCGAUAAGUAAUGCGAAUUGCAGAAUUCAGUGAAUCAUCGAAUCUUUGAACGCACAUUGCGCCCGCCAGUAUUCUGGCGGGCAUGCCUGUCUGAGCGUCGUUUCGACCCUCGCGCCCGGCUUCUGUCGGGGGCGGUGUUGGGGAUCGGCCACACCCACUCCGGUGGGAGGCCGGCCCCUAAAUCCAGUGGCGACCACGCUGUAGCCUCCCCUGCGUAGUACUAAAACCACCUCGCAGGCGGAGAGCGGUGCGGCCCGCCGUAAAACCCCCCAACUUUUACAAGGUCGACCUCAGAUCAGGUAGGAAUACCCGCUGAACUUAAGCAUAUCAAUAAGCGGAGGA
rnacentral:rRNA from 1 species